rnacentral:rRNA from 1 species
GACGAACGCUGGCGGCGUGCUUAACACAUGCAAGUCGAACGGAAAGGCCCUGCUUUUGUGGGGUGCUCGAGUGGCGAACGGGUGAGUAACACGUGAGUAACCUGCCCUUGACUUUGGGAUAACUUCAGGAAACUGGGGCUAAUACCGGAUAGGAGCUCCUGCUGCAUGGUGGGGGUUGGAAAGUUUCGGCGGGUGGGGAUGGACUCGCGGCUUAUCAGCUUGUUGGUGGGGUAGUGGCUUACCAAGGCUUUGACGGGUAGCCGGCCUGAGAGGGUGAACGGCCACAUUGGGACUGCGAGACGGACCAGACUCCUACGGGAGGCAGCAGUGGGGAAUAUUGCACAAUGGGCGGAAGCCUGAUGCAGCAACGCCGCGUGCGGGAUGACGGCCUUCGGGUUGUAAACCGCUUUCGCCUGUGACGAAGCGUGAGUGACGGUAAUGGGUAAAGAAGCACCGGCUAACUACGUG